GGGCCCGCACAAGCGGUGGAGUAUGUGGUUUAAUUCGAUGCAACGCGAAGAACCUUACCAGGGUUUGACAUCCUGCGAAUCUCUUGGAAACAGGAGAGUGCCUUCGGGAACGCAGUGACAGGUGGUGCAUGGCUGUCGUCAGCUCGUGUCGUGAGAUGUUGGGUUAAGUCCCGCAACGAGCGCAACCCACGUCUUUAGUUGCCAGCAUUUAGUUGGGCACUCUAGAGGGACUGCCGGUGAUAAGCCGGAGGAAGGUGGGGAUGACGUCAAGUCCUCAUGGCCCUUAUGGGCUGGGCUACACACGUGCUACAAUGGCGGCGACAGAGGGUUGCGAUCCCGCAAGGGCAAGCUAAUCCCCAAAAGCCGUCUCAGUUCGGAUUGUUCUCUGCAACUCGAGAGCAUGAAGGUGGAAUCGCUAGUAAUCG
rnacentral:rRNA from 1 species